rnacentral:rRNA from 1 species
AUUGAACGCUGGCGGCAGGCCUAACACAUGCAAGUCGAGCGAGCGGCGGACGGGUGAGUAAUGUAUGGGGACUGCCCGAUAGAGGGGGAUAACUACUGGAAACGGUGGCUAAUACCGCAUACUAUCGGAUAACCCAUAUGGGAGUAGCUAGUUGGUGGGGGAAAGGCGCCACUGGGAGACAACCUCUAGCUGGUCUGAGAGGAUGAUCAGCCCCACUGGGACUUAGACACGGCCCAGAUUCCUACGGAGGCAGCAGUUGGUAAUAUUGCACAAUGGGGGCAAGCCUGAUGCAGCCAUGCCGCGUGUAUGAAGAAGGCCUUAGGGUUGUAAAGUACUUUCAGCGGUGAGGCGUUACCCGCAGAAGAAGCACCGGCUAACUCCGUGCCAGCAGCCGCGGUAGUUC